rnacentral:rRNA from 1 species
CUGGAAUCGCUAGUAAUCGCGGAUCAGAAUGCCGCGGUGAAUACGUUCCCGGGUCUUGUACACACCGCCCGUCACACCAUGGGAGUCAGUAACGCCCGAAGCCGGUGACCCAACCUAAUCAGGAGGGAGCCGCCGAAGGCGGGACGGAUGACUGGGGUGAAGUCGUAACAAGGUACC